AGCCUUUUGUUUUUUUAUAUAAGGUGAAUUCUGCCCGGUGAUAUAGUUUUAACGGCCGCGGUAUUUUGACCGUGCAAAGGUAGCAUAAUUAUUUGCCUCUUAAUUAGAGGCUGGAAUGAAUGGAUAUACGAGAUUCAAGCUGUCUCAUUUUUAAUUAUAAAAAUUGGUUUUUAAGUGAAGAAACUUAAAUUUUAAUGUAGGACAAAAAGACCCUAUUGAGCUUUAUUUAUUAAGAAUAUUUUUAGACUACUUUACUUUAAUAUUAAAUAUAAAUUUGGUUGGGGCAACAAAGAAAUAUGCAGAUUUUUCUUUAGAUUUAAGAAUUAUUUUUCUUUCAAAUGAUCUAUAUAAAUGAUAAGAAGAAAGAGUUACCAUAGGGAUAACAGGCUAAUUUUUUUUUAGAGUUCAUAUUGACGAAAAAGUUUGGCACCUCGAUGUUGGCUUAGGAUAUCCUACAGGUGUAGAAGUUUGUAAGGGUUGGUUUGUUCAACCAUUAAAAUCCU
rnacentral:rRNA from 1 species